rnacentral:rRNA from 1 species
UGGGGAAUAUUGCACAAUGGACGGAAGUCUGAUGCAGCAACGCCGCGUGCGGGAUGACGGCCUUCGGGUUGUAAACCGCUUUUUCUCAUGACGAAGUUUUUUGACGGUAGUGGGGGAAGAAGCACCGGCUAACUACGUGCCAGCAGCCGCGGUGAUACGUAGGGUGCGAGCGUUGUCCGGAAUUAUUGGGCGUAAAGAGCUUGUAGGCGGUUUGUCGCGUCGAUAGUGCAAACUCAGUGCUUAACGCUGAGCCUGCUGUUGAUACGGGCAGGCUAGAGGGAGGUAGGGGAGAAUGGAAUUCCCGGUGGAGCGGUGGAAUGCGCAGAUAUCGGGAGGAACACCGGUGGCGAAGGCGGUUCUCUGGGCCUUUCCUGACGCUGAGAAGCGAAAGCGUGGGGAGCGAACAGG